ACCCCUGUGAGAAUGCCCUACAGCUCCCUGCCAUGGGAGCAAGGAGCUGGUAUCAGGCACCUCCUUAAGAGCCACCGCCCAUGACGCCUUGCUUAGCCACACCCCCAAGGGACCUCAGCAGUGAUAGAUAUUAAGCCAUAAGUGAAAACUUGACUUAGUUAAAGCUAAGAGGGCCGGUAAAACUCGUGCCAGCCACCGCGGUUAUACGAGAGGCCCAAGCUGACAAUCAACGGCGUAAAGAGUGGUUAAUAAACCCCAGAACUAAAGCCGAACGUCUACAAAGUUGUAUAAUACAUUCGAAGAUAUGAAGACCAACCACGAAAGUGACUUUACAUCCUUUGAACCCACGAAAGCUAGGGAACAAACUGGGAUUAGAUACCCCACUAUGCCUAGCCCUAAACCUAGAUAGAACCUUACAUAUUCUAUCCGCCCGGGAACUACGAGCACCAGCUUAAAACCCAAAGGACUUGGCGGCGCUUCACACCCACCUAGAGGAGCCUGUUCUAGAACCGAUAACCCCCGUUCAACCUCACCUUUUCUUGUUCUCCCCGCCUAUAUACCGCCGUCGUCAGCCCACCCUGUGAAGGCCUAGUAGUGAGCUAAACUGGCACAGCCCAAAACGUCAGGCCGAGGUGUAGCAUAUGAAGAGGGAAGAAAUGGGCUACAAUUGCCAAUAACAGCUAAUACGAAUUGCACCGCUGAAAAUGCACACAUGAAGGAGGAUUUAGAAGUAAGGGGGUAAACAGAGUGUCCCCCUGAAAUGGUUCUGAAGCGUGCACACACCGCCCGUCACUCUCCCCUAGCUAGAACGGCAUAAAGUAUCUAAGCAUAAACAACCUACACGGGGAGACAAGUCGUAACAUGGUAAGUGUACCGGAAGGUGCACUUGGAUAAAU
rnacentral:ncRNA from 1 species